rnacentral:rRNA from 1 species
UACGGAGGGUGCAAGCAUUAAUCGGAUUUAUUGGGCGUAAAGGGCGCGUAGGCGGGAAGAAAAGUUGGAUGUGAAAUCCUGAGGCUCAACCUCAGAACAGCAUUCAAAACUGACUUUCUAGAGGGUAGAAGGAGAAAACGGAAUUCCACAAGUAGCGGUGAAAUGCGUAGAUAUGUGGAAGAACGCCGGUGGCGAAGGCGGUUUUCUAUUUUAUACCUGACGCUGAGGCGCGAAAGCAAGGGGAUCAAACAGG